rnacentral:hammerhead_ribozyme from 1 species
AUCCAGCUGACGAGUCACACAUAGGACAAAACGCGAGUCCUGAAU